rnacentral:rRNA from 1 species
GGAGGGAUCAUUACCGAGUUUACACUCAUAACCCUU